rnacentral:ncRNA from 1 species
UGAUAGAGGCGCGGGAUUCAUCAGUACCGGGAGCAGAGAAGGCAGGACAGCCGCUCAGGGAAAGGGGAUACCGCCGAAGGAUGAUUUGCCGGUCCGGGCAGAUGAUUCUGGGAUGACGCAGAAGAUGCGGCAUACUGUCACAAUAUGUGGAGCGCUAUCUG